AGAGUUUGAUCCUGGCUCAGGACGAACGCUAGCGGUGUGCCUUAGGCAUGCAAGUCGAGCGGUUCGCGCUUGCGCGAACAGCGGCAGACGGCUGAAUAACACGUAGGAACGUACCUUUUAGAGAAGAAUAGCCCUUCGAAAGAUGGGUUAAUUCUACAUAAUCCCUCCGGGGCAAAGAGCGUAACUGCUCGCUGAAAGAGCGGCCUGCGUCCUAUCAGCUUGUUGGUGAGGUAAAGGCUCACCAAGGCUAAGACGGGUAGGGGGUGUGAGAGCAUGAUCCCCCAGAAUGGGACUUAGACACGGCCCAUACACCUACGGGUGGCAGCAACUAGGAAUCUUGCGCAAUGGACGAAAGUCUGACGCAGCGACACCGCAUGGAGGAUGACAGCCCUCGGGUUGUAAACUCCUCGUCUAGUCUUCAUUGAAGACUAGAGUAGUAGCACCGGCAAACUACGUGCCAGCAGCUGCGGUAAAACGUGGGGUGCAAGCGUUGUCCGGAUUUAUUGGGCGUAAAGGGUUUGUAGGCGGGCAAAUAGGUUAUUAGUUAAAGUCUUCGGCUCAACCGAAGUGAGGCUGAUAAUACCGUUUGUCUAGUUCUCGAUAGGGGGUGCUGGAACUUGUUGUGUAGGGGUGAAAUCCGUUGAUACAACAAGGAACACCAACGGCGAAGGCGGGCACCUGGGUCGAUGAAGACGCUGAGAAACGAAAGCUAGGGUAGCAAAUCGGAUUAGAGACCCGAGUAGUCCUAGCCCUAAAUGUUGUUCGUUACCUUUUUGUUCGACUCUUCGGAGUGGAAUAAGGAGGGCAGCUAACGCGUUAAACGAACCGCCUGGGAAGUAUGACCGCAAGGUUAAAACUCAAAGGAAUUGGCGGGGAGGCGCACAACCAGUGGAGCAUGUGGUUUAAUUCGACACAAAGCGAAGAACCUUACCUGGGUUUGACAUCUAGCCUUCUCAUCGCCUAGAAAUAGGUUGAUGUUCUACUUUGUAGAAAAAGCUAGACAGCUACUGCAUGGUUGUCGUCAGCUCGUGCCGUGAGGUGUUCCCUUAAGUGGGGCAACGAGCGUAACCCCUGUUCUAUGUUGGAUUUUCAUAGAAGACUGCUUUCCAAUUUGGAAGGAGGAAGGUGGGGAUGACGUCAAAUCAGCAUGGUGCUUAUGUCCAGGGCGACACACAUCCUACAAUGAGAAGGACAAAGGGUUGCUAAGCCGCGAGGCGGAGCUAAUCCCAUCAAACCUUCUCUCAGUGGGGAUUGCAGGCUGCAAUUCGCCUGCAUGAACGCGGAAUUGGUAGUAAUCGCGAAUCAGCAGGUCGCGGUGAAUACGUUCUCGCCUCCUGCACACACCGCCCGU
rnacentral:rRNA from 1 species